rnacentral:rRNA from 1 species
UGCGUAGGGUGCAAGCGUUUGUCCGGAAUUAUUGGGCGUAAAGAGCUCGUAGGCGGUUUGUCGCGUCUGCUGUGAAAACCCGAGGCUCAACCUCGGGCCUGCAGUGGGUACGGGCAGACUAGAGUGCGGUAGGGGAGAUUGGAAUUCCUGGUGUAGCGGUGGAAUGCGCAGAUAUCAGGAGGAACACCAAUGGCGAAGGCAGAUCUCUGGGCCGUAACUGACGCUGAGGAGCGAAAGCAUGGGGAGCGAACAGG